rnacentral:lncRNA from 1 species
CAAAAGAGGAAACACACGAUGGUGACAUAGCUCUAAUUGUUUAGAAAGCUGUGAAAUCACCAGCCCAAACACACAAAAUUUCCAUGCUCAGUGCUCCACGAAGAAUUUGACCAGGUGAUACUGACGAAAGUGUCACUGGUGGUACAGUAACCAAGAGCCUUCAGUCCAGAAGGCGUAGAUUCAGAUUCUAGCUCUACCGCUUACAGUGUUACUUAACAGAUGGACAAGUUUCUUAAUCUCUCAGUUUCCUCAUCUGUUAAAAGUGCACUUUUAAUACAGUAAUAGUGGAAUUUACCACCUAAGUUGUUGGUUUUUUGUUUUUAAAUAAGGCCGAAAUGGGUUAAUAUUUGUAACUGAUCAAGGCUGAGAACCGCUGUGCUCCCUGGCACAGAAGAGAGUGAGAAGGGGUGAAGAACAGAUCUGGAGGAGCCAAUGAAGGAUAUCUGGCACAUCCGUGAAAUCACUUACUCAUACACCUGUGAACUGUAAGAGACUGAAAGUGAACUGACAGAUGUGCCAGCAUCAGGGUUAGCCCCAGUCUUACUCCCCUCCAAGCUUCAAGCCCAUCUUCUGCUGAGCAUGUUCUCUGGCUCUUUGUGGAUGGCUCAGCAUCAACCUG